UUUAAGUGUUUUCCCUCAAAUCUUUCAGAUCUUAACGAGUUAUGUUUGGUUUUUGAAGAGUUUUGAAGUUUAAGCAAGUUUUGGAGCUUUGAGGUUCAAGAACUCAAAUCUCCCCCAUCUUCGAGCUAGGAUCGUUUCUCUCUCGAUCUUCAAGAGGUAAGAGCCGAUCUCUAGCUUAGUGUAUAUUUUAAGUAAGUUUUAUGCAAGUUUUUGGGGUAGAAAUGCAUGAGUAGGCUUGAUGGGUUUUUAUGAAAAUCCAUGGCUUUGAUGAGUGUUCUUGAACAAUGUGGCUUGCUUGUGUGUUGUAGUUGGGGUUUAAGUUAGUUUGAGACCCCUAGGAGCUUGUAUGCUUGUGUAUGAGUGUUGUAGAAGAGUUUUAUGCAUGAUUAGGAAGUUUGGGAACCUUGGAGGCAAGAGGAGCCAAGUUUCUGCCCUUUGGCAGAAACCAGGUUCGGCAGCCGAAGGGAGUUUCGGCCGCCGAACAUGGCUUGGGAGGCAGCUUUAGGCUGCCGAAGCUUACCCCCGAAAGUUGGAGUUUCGGCUCUGUCCGAGACUUUCGGCCGCCGAAGGUGCCGCCGAACAUGCAUGAGUUUCGUCUCUGUCUGGGAGUUUCGGCCGCCGAAGGUGCCGCCGAAAGUGCCCUGUCCAGCCUUUUCUUGCAUGUUUUCUAGGGGUGUUGUGAGGUGUUUUUAGGAGGUUUUUGGGGGUAUGUUUAGAGUCUUGUUUAUGUUUGUUUGGUACCUCAUCUAAGUCCACCUGUAUAGGUUCGGACCCGAGGAACCGAGACCCCCGGCAGUGAGAUAGCUGCCUUUGAGUUUGUUAAAGCUUCAGUCAUCAGGUGAGUGGAACAACCCCUUAAGUUUUAAAGUAAAGUAAAUGAAUAAAUGAAUGAAUCAUAAAGCAUUGCCCAUGCAUCACUAAUGCCAUGCAAUAUUUCAGGAUGUUUGCAUUAGAAUUCACGAAUAUGCUGCAUUGCAUAAAUUGAUGUUGAUGUGGAUGGUUGAUUGGAUGAUCCAUAGUCCUCGAUAUGUUAUGAUGAGAUAUGGCAUGUUAUGUAUGAAAGUCCAGGUUGUACCCAUUCUACGUCCCUGGCACAAAGAAAGAGAAAGACCGGUUGACCCAUUCUACGUCCCGGCAUAUUGGAAUGUUAUGUUAUGAUGUGUUAUGUAAGAGAAAGACCGGUUGACCCAUUCUACGUCCCGGCACUUUGGAAAGGAAGAGGACUAAUGGUGACAAUACCAUCCUUUAUGUGAUUAGCUGUGAUGUGUUACAUUUCAUGAAAGCAUGAAAAGAAAAAGAAAAAGUUAAAUAAUAUGAUGAAAUGAAAUAAUAAUAAUAAUAAUAAGAAUAAUAAAUAAUGAAUAAUAAUAAACAUAAAAAAAGGAGAAAUUAAAUCACAUGUUUUUAGUUUCUGCUCAUUGGGCUUUAUAGCUCACCCCCUCUCCCCUAACCCCAGUCUUGCAGGUACAGAGUAGAUAGAGAAGUCAGCAAGAGUAAGAGAAGUUUAUGUAAUAGCCUAGUGGUGGACAUGGUUUGUUUGUAAU
rnacentral:lncRNA from 1 species